GGAAGUGGCGCACGGGUGAGUAACACGUGGGAACCUACCCUUUGGUUGGGAAUAACCGCGGGAAACUGCGGCUAAUACCGAAUAAGCCCUACGGGGGAAAGAUUUAUCGCCGAAGGAUGGGCCCGCGCCGGAUUAGCCUGUUGGUAGGGUAACGGCCUACCAAGGCUACGAUCUGUAGCUGGUCUGAGAGGAUGGUCAGCCACACUGGGACUGAAACACGGCCCAGACUCCUACGGGAGGCAGCAGUGGGGAAUAUUGGACAAUGGGCGCAAGCCUGAUCCAGCCAUGCCGCGUGAGUGAAGAAGGCCCUAGGGUUGUAAAGCUCUUUCACCGGGGAAGAUAAUGACGGUACCCGGAAAAGAAGCCCCGGCUAACUCCGUGCCAGCAGCCGCGGUAAUACGGAGGGGGCUAGCGUUGUUCGGAAUUACUGGGCGUAAAGCGCACGUAGGCGGCGUGUAUAGUUAGGGGUGAAAGGCCUGGGCUCAACCUGGGAACUGCCUCUAAUACUGACACGCUAGAAUUCGGGAGAGGGUAGCGGAAUUCCAAGUGUAGAGGUGAAAUUCGUAGAUAUUUGGAAGAACACCGGUGGCGAAGGCGGCUACCUGGACCGAUAUUGACGC
rnacentral:rRNA from 1 species